AAAUGCUCUGCUCUCUUCUCUUUUCCUUGCUGUCCCCGGGGCUAGAGGAGCACAGACCUUCCCAGGCACCGGCCCCGGCCUCCCUGGACUCCCGUCCCCGGCCCUGGGUUGAGCCCGGGGGGCCAGAAACGCAAGAGAGAAGUGUGGGGGAGAAGAAAGGGAGAGAAACGUAAGUGUUCAAGAGAUACAUUGACCAGUUGCCUCCCACACCCCCCCAGCGAGGGACCUGACCCCCAACCCAGGCACGUGCCCUGCCCGAGUAUUGCAUCGGCGACCUUCCAGCUUGCAGAACCCUGAAGAUGUUCGGAGUGAAACUGAUUUCUUGCCGCCAAGGAUGAGAACCACCGCCCAAGGCGUGAGGCGUCGGGCGACCUCCUGGGAGUCCGAGGCGGCGACCCCCUCGGAUCCCCGUUCCCUCCGCGGUAGAGGACGGAGGCCAUGCCACCCCCCCUCCCCCCGGUCGUGUCUCCUCCCCAGGCCUUCAUCCUCCUCCUCCUCUGCCGCGCGCACACUGUGCCCUCCUAGCUGCCUCACUUCCCUCCACUGGCACUGUCUCCGAUUCUGUUUUUCUUUCCCUUCCUCUCUGAUCCUCACUGCCUCUCCCCGCCCUUCCCCCUCCCUGCCCUCUCCGUGUGGCCGGCCCAGUGCCGGGCACUCAGAAGAUGACUCCCCUCCUUCUAAAAAAGCCGUCAGCUCUGGGGUCGUGGGUGAUCACACGCUUCCCGCUCUGCUUGAAAUGGCUUCGAAUCUGGGUCCCACUGCUCUGAAGACUUUGCACAACAGCAGGUCCCCGGGCGUGUGAGGUCUGGGAAGAGGCCCCUGGCACCCUGCGUGGGGAGGGGCAGCGGGAGUGGGGGAUGGGAGGACUUGUCGGUGUGCGCAUGGCGGGCGCGCAGGCGCGCCUUGCGCAGAAAGCGAGACUCGUUCUGCCCGCUUCCAGAGAUCUGGGCCCUGGAUUGUUUGGGGGGCUUCUUCCUCAGGCCUGCUGGGCUUGGCCAGACUUGGGACAACGGAAUUUCUCCUCCUGGGCCCCUUGAGACUCCAGCCUGAUAAACCCAUCGCUGACCUGGUUUGCUGCCUCUGCCUCGGAGAAGAGCACCACACCCGCUGCCUGCAGCCAGCGAAGACUCCACAGUUGUCCCUUGGUGCAACCCAGGCUUCUUGGCUUGACAUUCAAGGCUCUUUGCCUUCCCGUCCCGCCUUGCUUCUUGCCGCAAAGAUGGCGGCUGACUGUUCCCUUGUUCUGUCCCCGCUUCCUUGCCUUUGCUCAGGCUGGUUCCUCAGCGAGGCACGGCCCUUCCCCUGCAUGCUCUCCCGCCUGCGGCCCUGACUAAUGCAUCGUUCUGCAAUGUACCUAGCACCUGCCUCUUGUGCCCCUCCCCCCGUCCUGGGCACCCAGGGCACACCUCAUUCAUGCUCGUGCCCAGCGUGUGGAAGACCCUCAAUAAAACGUUAGUGAUUAAAUGA